GAUGAACGCUGGCGGCGUGCCUAAUACAUGCAAGUCGAGCGAACAGACGAGGAGCUUGCUCCUCUGACGUUAGCGGCGGACGGGUGAGUAACACGUGGAUAACCUACCUAUAAGACUGGGAUAACUUCGGGAAACCGGAGCUAAUACCGGAUAAUAUAUUGAACCGCAUGGUUCAAUAGUGAAAGACGGUUUUGCUGUCACUUAUAGAUGGAUCCGCGCCGCAUUAGCUAGUUGGUAAGGUAACGGCUUACCAAGGCAACGAUGCGUAGCCGACCUGAGAGGGUAGUCGGCCACACUGGAACUGAGACACGGUACAGACUACUACGGGAGGCAGCAGAAGGGAAACUUACGCAAUGGGAGAAAGCCUGACGGAGCAACGCCGCGUGAGGGAUGAAGGUCUUCGGAUAGUAAAACUCUGUUAUUAGGGAAGAACAAAUGUGUAAGUAACUAUGCACGUAUUGACGGUACCUAAUCAGAAAGCCACGGCUAACUACGUG
rnacentral:rRNA from 1 species